UACGUGAGGGGCAAGCGUUGUCCGGAUUUAUUGGGCGUAAAGAGCGUGUAGGCGGCCAGAUAGGUCAGCUGUGAAAACUCGAGGCUCAACCUCGAGAUGUCGGCUGAAACCAUCUGGCUAGAGUCCGGAAGAGGAGAAUGGAAUUCCUGGUGUAGCGGUGGAAUGCGCAGAUAUCAGGAGGAACACCGAUGGCGAAGGCAGCUCGCUGGGACGGUACUGACGCUGAGGCGACGAAAGCGUGGGGAGCGAACAGG
rnacentral:rRNA from 1 species